rnacentral:rRNA from 1 species
GACGAACGCUGGCGGCGUGCUUAACACAUGCAAGUCGAACGGAAAGGCCCUGCUUUUGUGGGGUGCUCGAGUGGCGAACGGGUGAGUAACACGUGAGUAACCUGCCCUUUACUUUUGGAUAACUUCAGGAAACUGGGGCUAAUACCGGAUAGGAGCUCCUGCUGCAUGGUGGGGGUUGGAACGUUUCGGCGGUUGGGGAUGGACUCGCGGCUUAUCAGCUUGUUGGUGGGGUAGUGGCUUACCAAGGCUUUGACGGGUAGCCGGCCUGAGAGGGUGACCGGAAAAAUUGGGACUGAGAUAAGGCACAGACUAGUAUGGGAGGCAGGAGUGGGGAAUAGUGCAUAAGGGGAGGAAGGCUGAUGCAGCAAAGCCGCGUGCGGGAUGAGGGGAUUGGGGUUGGAAACCGAUGUCGCCUGUGACGAAGCGUGAGUGACGGUAACGGGUAAAGAAGCACCGGCUAACUACGUG